rnacentral:rRNA from 1 species
UACGAAGGGUGCAAGCGUUACUCGGAAUUACUGGGCGUAAAGCGUGCGUAGGUGGUUUGUUAAGUCUGUUGUGAAAGCCCCGGGCUCAACCUGGGAAUGGCAAUGGAUACUGGCAAGCUAGAGUGCGGUAGAGGUAGUGGAAUUCCCGGUGUAGCGGUGAAAUGCGAGAGAUGGUGGAGGAAUACCGAUGGCGAGGCAGCCCCUGGCAAUACCUGCGCU